UGGGCGUAAGCGCGCGCAGGCGGUUUCUUAAGUCUGAUGUGAAAGCCCACGGCUCAACCGUGGAGGGUCAUUGGAAACUGGGGAACUUGAGUGCAGAAGAGAAAAGCGGAAUUCCACGUGUAGCGGUGAAAUGCGUAGAGAUGUGGAGGAACACCAGUGGCGAAGGCGGCUUUUUGGUCUGUAACUGACGCUGAGGCGCGAAAGCGUGGGGAGCAAACAGGAUUAGAUACCCUGGUAGUCCACGCCGUAAACGAUGAGUGCUAAGUGUUAGAGGGUUUCCGCCCUUUAGUGCUGCAGCUAACGCAUUAAGCACUCCGCCUGGGGAGUACGGUCGCAAGACUGAAACUCAAAGGAAUUGACGGGGGCCCGCACAAGCGGUGGAGCAUGUGGUUUAAUUCCAAGCAACGCGAAGAACCUUACCAGGUCUU
rnacentral:rRNA from 2 species